UACGUAGGGUGCGAGCGUUGUCCGGAAUUAUUGGGCGUAAAGAGCUCGUAGGCGGUUUGUCGCGUCUGCUGUGAAAACUCAGGGCUUAACUCUGAGCUUGCAGUGGGUACGGGCAGACUAGAGUGCGGUAGGGGAGACUGGAAUUCCUGGUGUAGCGGUGAAAUGCGCAGAUAUCAGGAGGAACACCGGUGGCGAAGGCGGGUCUCUGGGCCGUAACUGACGCUGAGGAGCGAAAGCAUGGGGAGCAAACAGG
rnacentral:rRNA from 1 species